rnacentral:rRNA from 1 species
ACGGUACCUGCAGAAGAAGCCCCGGCUAACUACGUGCCAGCAGCCGCAGUAAUACGUAGGGGGCAAGCGUUGUCCGGAUUCAUUGGGCGUAAAGAGCUCGUAGGCGGUUCAGUAAGUCGGGUGUGAAAGCUCCGAGCUCAACUCGGAGAGGCCACCCGAUACUGCUGUGACUUGAGUCCAGUAGAGGAGCGUGGAACUCCUGGUGUAGCGGUGGAAUGCGCAGAUAUCAGGAAGAACACCUGCAGCGAAGGCGGCGCUCUGGGCUGGAACUGACGCUGAGGAGCGAAAGCGUGGGUAGCAAACAGGAUUAGAUACCCUGGUAGUCCACGCCGUAAACGUUGGGCACUAGGUGUGGGGAGCCGUCAACGCUCUCUGUGCCGUAGCUAACGCAUUAAGUGCCCCGCCUGGGGAGUACGGCCGCAAGGCUAAAACUCAAAGGAAUUGACGGGGGCCCGCACAAGCGGCGGAGCAUGUUGCUUAAUUCGAGGCAACGCGAAGAACCUUACCUAGGUUGAACUAUGCAGGAAAAGCCACAGAGAUGUGGUGUCCUUCGGG